AUAAUGGGUCAGCGACUUAUAUUCUGUAGCAAGGUUAACCGUAUAGGGGAGCCGGAGGGAAACCGAGUCUUAAUUGGGCGUUAAGUUGCAGGGUAUAGACCCGAAACCCGGUGAUCUAGCCAUGGGCAGGUUGAAGGUUGGGUAACACUAACUGGAGGACCGAACCGACUAAUGUUGAAAAAUUAGCGGAUGACCUGUGGCUGGGGGUGAAAGGCCAAUCAAACCGGGAGAUAGCUGGUUCUCCCCGAAAGCUAUUUAGGUAGCGCCUCGUGAAUUCAUCUCCGGGGGUAGAGCACUGUUUCGGCUAGGGGGCCAUCCCGGCUUACCAACCCGAUGCAAACUGCGAAUACCGGAGAAUGUUAUCACGGGAGACACACGGCGGGUGCUAACGUCCGUCGUGAAGAGGGAAACAACCCAGACCGCCAGCUAAGGUCCCAAAGUCAUGGUUAAGUGGGAAACGAUGUGGGAAGGCCCAGACAGCCAGGAUGUUGGCUUAGAAGCAGCCAUCAUUUAAAGAAAGCGUAAUAGCUCACUGGUCGAGUCGGCCUGCGCGGAAGAUGUAACGGGGCUAAACCAUGCACCGAAGCUGCGGCAGCGAACGUAUCACCCAAGACAACUUUACGGAGUUGACGAUUGACGGAGCGAAGCGACGUCAAAGCGUUCAUUAAAGUCGAGUUGGCUUAGGGAUACGUUCGUUGGGUAGGGGAGCGUUCUGUAAGCCUGUGAAGGUGUGUCGUGAGGCAUGCUGGAGGUAUCAGAAGUGCGAAUGCUGACAUAAGUAACGAUAAAGCGGGUGAAAAGCCCGCUCGCCGGAAGACCAAGGGUUCCUGUCCAACGUUAAUCGGGGCAGGGUGAGUCGACCCCUAAGGCGAGGCCGAAAGGCGUAGUCGAUGGGAAACGGGUUAAUAUUCCCGUACUUGGUGUUACUGCGAAGGGGGGACGGAGAAGGCUAUGUUGGCCGGGCGACGGUUGUCCCGGUUUAAGCGUGUAGGUGUGUGUUCCAGGUAAAUCCGGUUCACUUUAACACUGAGGCGUGACGACGAGGCACUACGGUGCUGAAGCAACAAAUGCCCUGCUUCCAGGAAAAGCCUCUAAGCAUCAGGUAACACGAAAUCGUACCCCAAACCGACACAGGUGGUCAGGUAGAGAAUACCAAGGCGCUUGAGAGAACUCGGGUGAAGGAACUAGGCAAAAUGGUGCCGUAACUUCGGGAGAAGGCACGCUGACACGUAGGUGAAGUGAUUUACUCAUGGAGCUGAAGUCAGUCGAAGAUACCAGCUGGCUGCAACUGUUUAUUAAAAACACAGCACUGUGCAAACACGAAAGUGGACGUAUACGGUGUGACGCCUGCCCGGUGCCGGAA
rnacentral:rRNA from 1 species